AACUGUAAUGAACAUACAGUACUGGAAAAUUUUAUCUGUGAGUUGCAUGACGACAAUCCUGAAAAGCUCAUAAAUGCUAAUUCAACUGAGGUUGAUUGGGAACGUUCCUUCUAUUUGAAUUUAGUCACUCACACGUCAUAUACUGUCACAGUGGCAUUGUGCUGUAUCAGCAAUCUUCACAAUCGUGCAGACAAAAGCAAGCGGUUGCCUCCAAUUUACAAGGUUUCAAAAACUGUAUAUGCAUCCCCUAGUCAUGUAAAUUUCCGCCUUGAUCAAAGAAAGGCUGUAGAGACAGUACCUGCAUAUCCGAACAUUUAUUUCUCAGUUGAUGACUUCGAUGAUCCUUUUGAUGCUGUGGUUUUGUCAGACCCAGAACACUGCUAUUGUGUGAUUCUCAAUGCGCAUGAUGGGGCAGCAUUUCCUGAAGAAAGCGAAUCAAGCAAUGUCGGUUCAAAUAUACAAUCUGGGAUCAACUCUGGGAGC
rnacentral:rRNA from 1 species